GUCUGCGUCGGGGAGGUGGAGGCGCGGUGCUGGGCCUCGGUGGUCCUCUGUGCUCCUGGCUGCGGGGGUGAUUGCGUUGUCCCGAGGGAUCCCCACGUCUCAGCACCCGCGGAACCUAAUCAACAGCACCCGCAGAAUCUGGUUAUCAGCACCCACAACCCUGGGCACCAGCACCGCGGAACCUGGGCUCCUGCAUCCACGGGUCCGCACAGGGCUGCAGGUCCACGCGUACACUCCGUGCACCAUGCCAUGAUUUGCUGCUGGAUGUGAUGACACACACCCCUAAUCCUGGGACUUGGGGUGUAGGCAUAGAAGAAUUGGAAAUUCAGUUCAUCGUCUGCUACGUAGCAGAGGUCAACCUGAGCUUGGAGAUAGUUGCUGGGAUAACACCAUGACCAAGGGAACUUGGAAGAGUUUAUUUGGACUUGCAAUUCCAGAGGGAUAAGAGUCAUCAUGGUGGGGAGGCAUGGCAGCAGAGGCGUCUGGAGCGCACACAAGUAGCAGAGAGAGCAUAACUGAAAGUGGAGCAAGACUCUGAACUCUUACAACCCACGGCCAGUGAUAUGCUUUCUUCAGCUAGCCACAACUCCUAAAGGUUCCGUCACUCUUCCCAAACAAUGCUGCCAACUGGCCAAGUGUUCAAAUACUUGAGCCUAUGGGGGACUGUCUCAUCAAACCACCACAUUCUACUCCCUGGACCCCAUAGAUUCAUUGCUAUAUCAUAAUGCAAAAUGCGUUUAGCUCAACUUUAACAGUCCCCAUUGUCUUUAACAGUCUCAACACUGGUCCAAAGUCCAAAACCUUUUCUGAGACUCAAGGCACUAUCAUAACUAUAAAAUAAAAGCACCUAUAAAAUAAAAAGCUAUUUACAUACUUUGAACAAACCAUAGCAUAGAAUAUAUAUUCUGGUUCUAAAAGGGAGGAAUGAGGGGAUAAUGAGAAAUUUUAGGACCAAAAACCACCAGAGGAAAAAAAGCAGUUCCUAUAACUCCAUGUCUGAUGGCUAGGAUGUUAGUUCCAAAGGGCUUAGUUGUGCCCACCCUUCAAGUUCUGCUGUCUGCAGUAUACAACGGCCUGUAUGCAGCUGUCACUGGCAGAUACCUCAUGGCUCUGGCAUCCCCAGCAUCUUAGGGUCUCCACAGCAGCCCAGGGUUCAAUUUCACACCUUCAUAUGAUGGCCUUCAAGGUCUGUUGGCUUGUUAGGGCCUUUUUAAUGUGAGAAUUUCCCUGAUACAUCCUGCCAGGCUUCAGUGGCUCUCUGAAACCACAGAGGAACAAUCAGUAACCCCCUCACUCUUGCACCUUUUAUGCCUCUAAGUCCAGUGCCACUCAGAGGAUACUACCAGGUUCAGCUGCCACCUUGGGAUGGACCCUAUUUGGUCACAUUAGCCCCAGUUUUUGUUGUGGUUUUCUAGGACCAGAAAACCUCUUAGGCCUUUCACAAGUUGAAAGCUUAGCUGGGUGAAAUCUUACCUUGAGGGCUUUCUUUCCAUUGUUUAAGUGACGAUCAAGGGGCCUCUUUUUGUAUGUUUGUCAGUUUUUGUUUUUUGAGGUGGGGUAUCCCUGUAGCCACAGCUGGCCUGGAAAUCACUAUUAAACCAGGCUGACCUUCAACUCACAGAGAUCUGCCAGCCUCUUGCCACCCACAUUCCCCACAGGAGGCCUCUUCUUCGUGGUGCUAAUUUCAUAACAAUGAGAGUCUCAUUUCUAACACAGCACCUUAGCUGCAACAUUAAACUUUUUAGUGUGUUCAUUGAACUAGAACUGACCUGGAAACCUCCUCUUGGAAGACUAGCUUUCAAAGUAUCUGAAGAUACUAUGCAAGCUGCCAACGAGAAAAACCAAUCUUUAUCCAGGUGUAAUGUCUACAAACCACAACAACGAUUGGCCCA